rnacentral:rRNA from 1 species
GACGAACGCUGGCGGCGUGCUUAACACAUGCAAGUCGAACGGUAAGGCCCUUUCGGGGGUACACGAGUGGCGCACGGGUGAGUAACACGUGGGUGAUCUGCCCUGCACUUUGGGAUAAGCCUGGGAAACUGGGUCUAAUACCGGAUAGGACUACGCGAUGCAUGUCGUGUGGUGGAAAGCUUUUGCGGUGUGGGAUGGGCCCGCGGCCUAUCAGCUUGUUGGUGGGGUGAUGGCCUACCAAGGCGACGACGGGUAGCCGGCCUGAGAGGGUGUCCGGCCACACUGGGACUGAGAUACGGCGCAGACUCCUACGGGAGGCAGCAGGGGGGAAUAUUGCACAAUGGGCGCAAGCCUGAUGCAGCGACGCCGCGUGGGGGAUGACGGCCUUCGGGUUGUAAACCCCUUUCAGCACAGACGAAGCGUAAGUGACGGUAUGUGCAGAAGAAGCACCGGCCAACUACGUG